GAUGAACGCUAGCGGCAGGCUUAAUACAUGCAAGUCGUGGGGCAGCAGGUCUGUAGCAAUACAGAUGCUGGCGACCGGCAAACGGGUGCGGAACACGUACACAACCUUCCUUUAAGUGGGGAAUAGCCCAGAGAAAUUUGGAUUAAUACCCCGUAACAUAAUGAAGUGGCAUCACUUUAUUAUUAUAGCUCCGGCGCUUAAAGAUGGGUGUGCGGCUGAUUAGAUAGUUGGCGGGGUAACGGCCCACCAAGUCGACGAUCAGUAACUGGUGUGAGAGGACGACCAGUCACACGGGCACUGAGACACGGGCCCGACUCCUACGGGAGGCAGCAGUAAGGAAUAUUGGUCAAUGGACGCAAGUCUGAACCAGCCAUGCCGCGUGGAGGAUGAAGGUCUUCUGGAUUGUAAACUUCUUUUAUUUGGGAAGAAAUCUAUCUUUUCUUGGAUAGUUGACGGUACCAGAUGAAUAAGCACCGGCUAACUCCGUGCCAGCCGCCGCGGUAAUAC
rnacentral:rRNA from 1 species